UCUGGAGAAGUCGGCGCAUACACGAAAGGCGAGGCUAGAUCUUCAACAGUUGAAGGAUCGGUCAAGUACAAAAACAUAUUUGGUUAUGGGGAUCUUUGGGAUGCCUCUUUGGCAUAUGGUGGUGACCACAUGGCUGAGGUAAGUUCUGGUGUGUAUUUGCCAAGAUUCAAAAGACUUGCUCCUGUGACGGCAAGAGUAUUCCUGCUAUCUCAAGAUUGGCUGAAAUUUUCUUCUUUCAAAGAACGAACAUUGGGCCUCUCUCUUGGCUUAGUUUCAAGCAGGAACCAUGAUUUGGUGUACAAUCUCUCAUGGCGCACUUUGACAGAUCCAUCACAAAUGGCAUCCAGGUCAAUAAGGAGGCAGCUUGGUCAUGGUCUGCUUUCAUCCUUGAAAUACACAUUUAAGAUUGACCGGAGAAAUUCACCUUUGAGGCCAACACAUGGAUAUGCUUUUGUUUCUACCACUCAAAUUGGUGGUCUUGCACCUGAUAGUCGGAGUAUACGGUUUUUGCGCCAGGAGCUUGAUCUUCGUUAUGCGGUCCCUCUUGGAUUUUUGCGUUCUGCACUCAACCUUGGGAUCUCUGGUGGUCUUAUUUUUCCAUGGGGAACUGGAUUCUUAAACAUGCCUUCUCCCCUACCAGAGAGAUUCUUCUUGGGUGGUAAUUUAUCUCCAAUUUGCACUUUGGGAGGUCCAAUAGCGUUAUAUGGGUUUAGUACAAGAGGACUGGGCCCCACUGAGCCUCGAAGGCAAUUGCAAAAUAAUCCAACUGAUGAUAGUUCUGAAUCUGGGAGAGAUUAUCUUGGAGGAGAUCUUGCUGUUACUGCUUUUGCAGAUUUUUCUUUUGAUUUUCCAUCCAAGUGGUGU
rnacentral:misc_RNA from 1 species